UACGUAGGUGACCAGCGUUGUCCGGAUUUACUGGGCGUAAAGAGCGCGCAGGCGGUCGUUCAAGUCGAGUGUGAAAGCCCCCGGCUCAACUGGGGAGGGUCAUUCGAUACUGAUCGACUCGAAGGCAGGAGAGGGAAGUGGAAUUCCCGGUGUAGUGGUGAAAUGCGUAGAUAUCUGGAGGAACACCGGUGGCGAAGGCGGCAUCCUGGACCGACACUGACGCUGAGGAGCGAAAGCCAGGGGAGCAAACGGG
rnacentral:rRNA from 1 species